CCUACGGGAGGCUGCAGUGGGGAAUAUUGGGCAAUGGGCGCAAGCCUGACCCAGCAACGCCGCGUGAAGGAAGAAGGCUUUCGGGUUGUAAACUUCUUGUGUCAGGGAAGAGUAUAAGACGGUACCUGACGAAUAAGCCACGGCUAACUACGUGCCAGCAGCCGCGGUAAUACGUAGGUGGCAAGCGUUGUCCGGAUUUACUGGGUGUAAAGGGCGUGUAGCCGGGUUGGCAAGUCAGAUGUGAAAUCCUGCGGCUUAACCGCAGAACUGCAUGUGAAACUGUUGAUCUUGAGUACUGGAGAGGCAGACGGAAUUCCUGGUGUAGCGGUGAAAUGCGUAGAUAUUAGGAGGAACACCAGUGGCGAAGGCGGUCUGCUGGACAGCAACUGACGGUGAGGCGCGAAAGCGUGGGGAGCAAACAGGAUUAGAUACCCCAGUAGUC
rnacentral:rRNA from 1 species